rnacentral:rRNA from 1 species
GACAGAGGGUGCAAACGUUGCUCGGAAUCACUGGGCGUAAAGGGCGUGUAGGCGGGAAGGAAAGUCAGAUGUGAAAUCCCUGGGCUCAACCCAGGAACUGCAUUUGAAACUCCCUUCUUGAGUACCGGAGAGGAAGGUGGAAUACCUGGUGUAGAGGUGAAAUUCGUAGAUAUCAGGUGGAACACCAGUGGCGAAGGCGGCCUUCUGGACGGUAACUGACGCUGAGACGCGAAAGCGUGGGGGGAGCAAACAGG